AGGAGAACUUGUAGCUCUUCCAGAGCUGUAACCAAUGUUUCCCUUCAUAAGUUCAUAUUUAACUUGCAAGUAUCCAGAAGCAUGAUUUGACAUAUCUCACACAUGGGUUGAGAGCUGAGCAGACAGCCCUGACUUGAACAAGCCCUUUAAAUUCUCAUUUUAGAUCCCUUGUCUGUGGACUUGUUGGCAUGCCGGCCGCAUGGCUUAGUUUUGGGAUUAUGUCAACGCCUUCAGCAGAUGCUAUUGCAUUACAUAAAGAGAUAUGCCAUGCUGGAGAGAUUCCACUCACUCCUAAUGUGUGCAUUCUGGCCAUGGGCAACAACUUCACAUCCUGUCCUAUCACUGACAUGGCAACCAUGGAUUCUGGGAGCAUUCCCAAAGCUGCGUGGCAUCACUUGUCAAAGGUCUGAUAUCCCAGCGGAGGCACAGCAGGUUGUGUGACGGCAGAGAGGAACAGGAUGGAGCGGCUAUUUUUACCUGAAGCCCAGGAGUGAGCUCAACACAGAAGGUCUAUCUGCACAAAUGUGUGUGCAUGGUGAGGAUGCAGUCAAUCAGCAAACCAACGAGGGAGAACUGACGAAAGUGCAUGAGAAAAGGUGGAGAAGUGAUUUCUCCGACACGGAUCUGAGAUGAGGUUUGCAGCCAUAACCAGGCGCCACUGUAGGAGCUAAUUCAAACAGGCCCCAGCAAGUUUGAAGAAGGAAACAUGGAGGACCACAUGUAUUCAAAAUCCAGAUUUCAGGGACAGGAGUCUUUUUCUUCGCCCAGAAAAAGGAUAUUUAAAAGCAAGAGCAAAAGACCGGCUAUUUGAGGCGUCAAGGCUACCGUAUCUGUAAGACGUACUUUGAACUGCGUGGUUCGAGAAAGUUGAUUGCGAUAUAUGAUCUCAACGCUAGAUGGGAGAAAUUCCUACACAUUGGACCUUUUUUAAUGUUUGGAUAAAAUCAUCAAUCUAAAAUUUCAUUCAUGCGUCAUGCUCCGUCAUGGACGGAGUGACUACUUUUGUCUCCUGCAGUGGCUACUGUUGGUUGUGGUUGGAUUUGUUAGUGACAUCAAGGAGAUGAAGAAAAAAGCAGUAUUGGCGUUGCCUCUAAUUCAGCAGAGCAAGCUAGGCUAAGCAGCUAAGCUUGCUGGUAAGUUCGUGAAUUAAAAAGAAAGCUCUUGACAUCUCUAGCCUGUUUUACUCAG